AUUGAACGCUGGCGGCAGGCCUAACACAUGCAAGUCGAGCGAGCGGCGGACGGGUGAGUAAUGUAUGGGGACUGCCCGAUAGCAGGGGAUAACUACUGGAAAGGGUGGCUAAUACCGCAUCCUAUCGGUUAACCCAUAUGGGAUUAGCUAGUAGGUGGGGUAAAGGCGCACCUAGGCGACGAUCUCUAGCUGGUCUGAGAGGAUGAUCAGCGACACUGGGACGGAGACACGGCCCAGACUCCUACGGAGGAAGCAGUGGGGAAUAUUGCACAAUGGGCGCAAGCCUGAUGCGGCGACGCCGCGUGGGGGAUGAAGGCUUUCGGGUUGUAAACCUCUUUCGCUAUCGAACGGGUAGGUGGAGAAGAAGCGCCGGCUAACUACGUGCCAGCAGCCGCGGUAAUUC
rnacentral:rRNA from 1 species